rnacentral:piRNA from 1 species
UAUAAGCGUCUCAGUAGGUGCACAAGAU